rnacentral:rRNA from 1 species
UAAGGAAUAUUGGACAAUGGGGGCAACCCUGAUCCAGCCAUCCCGCGUGCAGGAUGAAGGCCCUCUGGGUCGUAAACUGCUUUUAUAGGCCAAGAAUAGUUCCGAUUUAUCGGGAUAUGACGGUAGCCUAUGAAUAAGCACCGGCUAACUCCGUGCCAGCAGCCGCGGUAAUACGGAGGGUGCAAGCGUUAUCCGGAAUUACUGGGUUUAAAGGGUGCGUAGGCGGUUUAAUAAGUCAGAAGUGAAAAGUCCGAGCUUAACUGGGGCCUUGCUUUUGAUACUGUUAGACUUGAAAGGGGCUGAGGUCAGCGGAAUGUGACAUGUAGCGGUGAAAUGCAUAGAUAUGUCAU